rnacentral:rRNA from 1 species
UACGAAGGGGGCUAGCGUUGCUCGGAAUCACUGGGCGUAAAGCGCACGUAGGCGGAUCUUUAAGUCAGAGGUGAAAUCCCAAGGCUCAACCUUGGAACUGCCUUUGAUACUGGGGAUCUCGAGUCCGGAAGAGGUUGGUGGAACUGCGAGUGUAGAGGUGAAAUUCGUAGAUAUUCGCAAGAACACCAGUGGCGAAGGCGGCCAACUGGUCCGGUACUGGACGCUGAGGCACGAAAGCGUGGGGAGCAAACAGGG